rnacentral:misc_RNA from 1 species
GAUGAAGAACGCAGCGAAAUGCGAUAAGUAGUGUGAAUUGCAGAAUUCAGUGAAUCAUCGAAUCUUUGAACGCACAUUGCGCCCUUUGGUAUUCCUUAGGGCAUGCCUGUUCGAGCGUCAUUUGAAACCUCAAGCUCAGCUUGGUGUUGGGUGUCUAUCCCCGCCUCACCGCGGGGACUCGCCUCAAAAUCAUUGGCGGCCGGUACGUUGGCUUCGAGCGCAGCAGAAACGCGAACUCGAGGCCCGGCGGAUCGGCGACCAGAAGUCACUUCUUCACAGUUUGACCUCGGAUCAGGUAGGGAUACCCGCUGAACUUAAGCAUAUCAAUAAGCGGAGGA